rnacentral:rRNA from 1 species
CAGUCGCCACGGUAAUACGGAGGGGGCUAGCGUUGCUCGGAAUUACUGGGCGUAAAGGGCGCGUAGGCGGACAGUUCAGUCGGGGGUGAAAGCCCGGGGCUCAACCUCGGAAUUGCCUUCGAUACUGGCUGUCUUGAGUAUGAGAGAGGUGUGUGGAACUCCGAGUGUAGAGGUGAAAUUCGUAGAUAUUCGGAAGAACACCAGUGGCGAAGGCGACACACUGGCUCAUUGCUGACGCUGAGGCGCGACAGCGUGGGGAGCAAACAGGAUUAGAUACCCCCGUAGUCCCUGUCUCUUAUAC